rnacentral:misc_RNA from 1 species
GAUGAUCACGGAGCCCUGAUGGGCAACGAAUGCCCUCGUCUAUGAAUAUUUUCACACACGCUCAAAGUAUGACAGAAUGUAUAUCAUAUUGCGUCUGAUAAACGUGACAAAUACAACUUUCAACAACGGAUCUCUUGGCUCUCGCAUCGAUGAAGAACGCAGCGAAAUGCGAUAAGUAAUGUGAAUUGCAGAAUUCAGUGAAUCAUCGAAUCUUUGAACGCACCUUGCGCUCCUUGGUAUUCCGAGGAGCAUGCCUGUUUGAGUGUCAUGAAAUUCUCAACUGCCCCAGGCUUUGUGGCCUGCAGGUGAAGUUGGACUUGGAGGUAUGCUGGCGCAUGAAUGGGCUUUGUGCCCUGCCUUGCUUGUUGGCUCCUCUCGAAUGCAUGAGCUUUCCAAUCCUUGGCAAAGUAUCGUCGAUGUGAUAAUUGUCUACGUCGCCCGAGAAAGCCGAAAAGGGGAAAUCUUUGAUCACGCUGGGGUGACCCGUGUCUGACAAAUUCGACCUCAAAUCAGGUAGGACUACCCGCUGAACUUAAGCAU